rnacentral:rRNA from 1 species
UACGUAGGAGGCGAGCGUUGUCCGGAAUUACUGGGCGUAAAGAGCGCGUAGGUGGCGCGGAUACGACCGGUGUGAAAUCCUCCGGCUCAACUGGAGGGGGUCACUGGUAACGGUCGUGCUGAUGAGUGCAGGAGAGGGACGUGGAACUCCGGGAGUAGCGGUGAAAUGCGUAGAGACCCGGAGGAACACCAGUGGCGAAGG